GCCGGGAUGGUGGAACUGGUAGACACGCUACUUUGAGGGGGUAGUGGGCGAAAGCCUGUGCGGGUUCGAGUCCCGCUCCCGGCA
rnacentral:tRNA from 1 species